rnacentral:rRNA from 1 species
GAUGAACGCUGGCGGCGUGCCUAAUACAUGCAAGUCGAGCGAAUGGAUUAAGAGCUUGCUCUUAUGAAGUUAGCGGCGGACGGGUGAGUAACACGUGGGUAACCUGCCCAUAAGACUGGGAUAACUCCGGGAAACCGGGGCUAAUACCGGAUAACAUUUUGAACCGCAUGGUUCGAAAUUGAAAGGCGGCUUCGGCUGUCACUUAUGGAUGGACCCGCGUCGCGUUAGCUAGUUGGUGAGGUAACGGCUCACCAAGGCAACGAUGCGUAGCCGACCUGGGAGGGUGAUCGGCCACACUGGGACUGAGACACGGCCCAGACUCCUACGGGAGGCAGCAGUAGGGAAUCCUCCGCAAUGGACGAAAGUCUGACGGAGCAACGCCGCGUGAGUGAUGAAGGCUUUCGGGUCGUAAAACUCUGUUGUUAGGGAAGAACAAGUGCUAGUUGAAUAAGCUGGCACCUUGACGGUACCUAACCAGAAAGCCACGGCUAACUACGUGCCAGCCGCCGCCGUAA